rnacentral:rRNA from 1 species
UCAAGCGAACAAGGGCGCAGGGCGAAUGCCUUGGCACUGGGAGCCGAUGAAAGACGUGAUAAGCUGCGAUAAGCUUCGGGGAGCUGCAAAUAAGCAUUGAUCCGGAGAUUUCUGAAUGAGGAAACUCACCUGGGUUCAUACUCAGGUACGUUGUACUGAAAUUCAAAAUAGGUACAUCGGGGGAACCGCCUGAACUGAAACAUCUAAGUAGGGCGAGGAAGAGACAUCAAACGAGAUUCCGUAAGUAGUGGCGAGCGAACGCGGAAGAGGGCAAACCGAGAGUAGAAAUACUUUCGGGGUACGGACUGCUUUUAAGACUCAAUCUGUUAACCGAACGGCAUGGGAAGGCCGGUCAGAGAGUGUGAGAACCACGUAGGUGAAAACGGAAAGAGCUGCGCAGAUUCCAGAGUACGGCCAGACACGUGAAACCUGGUCGGAAGAUGGGGGGACCACCCUCCAACCCUAAAUACUACCCAGUGACCGAUAGCGUAUAGUACUGUGAAGGAAAGGUGAAAAGCACCCCGGGAGGGGAGUGAAAAAGAACCUGAAACCCUGUGCCUACAAGCACCUAGAGCGCGUCAAAGCGUGAUAGGGUACUUUUUGUAGAACGGUCCGGCGAGCGAUUGUAUGCAGCAAGGUUAAGGACUUAAGGUCUGGAGCCGAAGCGAAAGCGAGUUUGAAAAGGGCGUUAAGUUGCAUAUAAUGGGCCCGAAACCGGGUGACCUACCCAUGGUCAGGUUGAAGUGGAAGUAAAAUUCCAUGGAGGACCGAACCGACCUCCGUUGAAAAGGCGGCGGAUGAACUGUGGGUAGCGGAGAAAUUCCAAUCGAACCCGGAGAUAGCUGGUUCUCCCCGAAAUAGUUUUAGGACUAGCCUCAAGUUAGAUACCUGGAGGUAAAGCACUGAAUAGCCUAGCGGCCGAGAGGUUAGCGAAGCUUAUCAAACUCAGAAUGCCAGAGUAUUGAUGCUUGGGAGUCAGACAGUGUCAGAUAAAUGUCAUUGUCAAAAGGGAAACAGCCCAGAUCUACAGCUAAGGUCCCAAAGUCAGGUUAAGUGGAAAACGAUGUGAAGAUACGCAGACAACCAGGAUGUUGGCUCAGAAGCAGCCACUCAUUCAAAGAGUGCGUAAUAGCUCACUGGUCGAGCGUCUUUGCGCGGAGAAUUUAACGGGGCUAAACCUGACACCGAAGCUUAGGCAAUACACGUAAGUGUAUUGGGUAGGGGAGCGUUGUAUACGCGGAGAAACAGUAGCGUAAGCGGCUGUGGAGUGUAUAGAAGUGAGAAUGCCGGAAUGAGUAGCGCGAAUGCAGUGAGAAUCUGCAUGGCCGAAAGCCUCAGGUUUCUGGAGGAAGGUUCGUCCGCUCCAGGUUAGUCGGGAGCUAAGGUGAGGCCUAACGGCGUAGCCGAUGCACAGACGGUAGAGAUUCCGUCACCACCAAAAGAGUUAAGCACAGGGACACAUUUGAAGUCUCGGAGCCGGGUGUUGGUUCCGGUAGCGAUCGAGGGAAAUUAGUACCGAAGUCUGAGAUGGAAGAUGGCGAGAAAAGCUGUGUGUAUUUCUGAGGUGCCCGUACCGCAAACCGACACAGGUAGGUAGGAAGAAGAUUCUAAGGCCAACGGGAGAAGGGUUGUUAAGGAACUCGGCAAAUUGACCCCGUAACUUCGGGAGAAGGGGUGCUCCAGAGAUGGAGCCGCAGAGAAUCGGCCCAAGCAACUGUUUACCAAAAACACAGGUUUGUGCUAAAUCGAAAGAUGACGUAUACGAGCUGACGCCUGCCCGGUGCUGGAAGGUUAAAAGGAGAUGUGCAAGCAUUGAAUUGAAGCCCCAGUGAACGGCGGCCGUAACUAUAACGGUCCUAAGGUAGCGAAAUUCCUUGUCAGGUAAGUUCUGACCCGCACGAAAGGCGUAAUGAUUUGGGCACUGUCUCAACAGCCCGCCCGGCGAAAUUGUAGUACCGGUGAAGAUGCCGGUUACCCGCGACAAGACGGAAAGACCCCAUGGAGCUUUACUGUAGCCUAAUAUUGGGUUUCGAUGUUGCAUGCACAGGAUAGAUGGGACACAGGGAAACAAUCGCUUUGGCGGUUGCGGAGUGGCCGUUGGGAUACCAUCCUUGCGAUAUUGGAAUUCUAACCUGCGGCUCUGAAUCGAGUCGGGGGACAUUGUUAGGUGGGCAGUUUGACUGGGGCGGUCGCCUCCUAAAGAGUAACGGAGGCGUUCAAAGGUUCGCUCAGCUUGAACGGAAAUCAAGCAAAAGAGUGCAAACGCAGAAGCGAGCCUAACUGCGAGACUGACGGGUCGAGCAGUAACGAAAGUUGGAGUUAGUGAUCCGGUGGUAUGUGAGUGGAAAUGCCAUCGCUCAACGGAUAAAAGUUACCCUGGGGAUAACAGGCUGAUCUCCCCCAAGAGUCCACAUCGACGGGGAGGUUUGGCACCUCGAUGUCGGCUCAUCGCAUCCUGGAGCUGUAGUCGGUUCCAAGGGUUGGGCUGUUCGCCCAUUAAAGCGGUACGCGAGCUGGGUUCAGAACGUCGUGAGACAGUUCGGUCCCUAUCUGUCGUGGGCGCAGGAUAUUUGAUGGGAGCUGUCCCUAGUACGAGAGGACCGGGACGGACGUACCUCUGGCGCACCAGUUGUUCCGCCAGGAGCAUAGCUGGGCAACUACGUACGGAUCGGAUAAACGCUGAAAGCAUCUAAGCGUGAAGCCGACCCAAAGAUAAGAUAUCCCACUGAUU